rnacentral:rRNA from 1 species
GAUCAUGGCUCAGGACGAACGCUGGCGGCGCGCCUAACACAUGCAAGUCGAACGAGAGAUGAAGAGCUUGCUCUUCAAAUCGAGUGGCGAACGGGUGNGUAACGCGUGAGGAACCUGCCUCAAAGAGGGGGACAACAGUUGGAAACGACUGCUAAUACCGCAUAAGCCCACAGCUCGGCAUCGAGCAGAGGGAAAAGGAGUGAUCCGCUUUGAGAUGGCCUCGCGUCCG